rnacentral:rRNA from 1 species
UUAGCUACAGGCUUAACACAUGCAAGUCGAGGGGCAUCAGGAAGAAAGCUUGCUUUCUUUGCUGGCGACCGGCGCACGGGUGAGUAACACGUAUCCAACCUGCCCUUUACUCGGGGAUAGCCUUUCGAAAGAAAGAUUAAUACCCGAUAGCAUAAUGAUUCCGCAUGGUUUCAUUAUUAAAGGAUUCCGGUAAAGGAUGGGGAUGCGUUCCAUUAGGUUGUUGGUGAGGUAACGGCCCACCAAGCCUUCGAUGGAUAGGGGUUCUGAGAGGAAGGUCCCCCACAUUGGAACUGAGACACGGUCCAAACUCCUACGGGAGGCAGCAGUGAGGAAUAUUGGUCAAUGGGCGCUAGCCUGAACCAGCCAAGUAGCGUGAAGGAUGAAGGCUCUAUGGGUCGUAAACUUCUUUUAUAUAAGAAUAAAGUGCAGUAUGUAUACUGUUUUGUAUGUAUUAUAUGAAUAAGGAUCGGCUAACUCCGUGCCAGCAGCCGCGGUAAUACGGAGGAUCCGAGCGUUAUCCGGAUUUAUUGGGUUUAAAGGGAGCGUAGGUGGACUGGUAAGUCAGUUGUGAAAGUUUGCGGCUCAACCGUAAAAUUGCAGUUGAUACUGUCAGUCUUGAGUACAGUAGAGGUGGGCGGAAUUCGUGGUGUAGCGGUGAAAUGCUUAGAUAUCACGAAGAACUCCGAUUGCGAAGGCAGCUCACUGGACUGCAACUGACACUGAUGCUCGAAAGUGUGGGUAUCAAACAGGAUUAGAUACCCUGGUAGUCCACACAGUAAACGAUGAAUACUCGCUGUUUGCGAUAUACAGUAAGCGGCCAAGCGAAAGCAUUAAGUAUUCCACCUGGGGAGUACGCCGGCAACGGUGAAACUCAAAGGAAUUGACGGGGGCCCGCACAAGCGGAGGAACAUGUGGUUUAAUUCGAUGAUACGCGAGGAACCUUACCCGGGCUUAAAUUGCAGUGGAAUGAUGUGGAAACAUGUCAGUGAGCAAUCACCGCUGUGAAGGUGCUGCAUGGUUGUCGUCAGCUCGUGCCGUGAGGUGUCGGCUUAAGUGCCAUAACGAGCGCAACCCUUAUCUUUAGUUACUAACAGGUUAUGCUGAGGACUCUAGAGAGACUGCCGUCGUAAGAUGUGAGGAAGGUGGGGAUGACGUCAAAUCAGCACGGCCCUUACGUCCGGGGCUACACACGUGUUACAAUGGGGGGUACAGAAGGCAGCUAGCGGGUGACCGUAUGCUAAUCCCAAAAUCCUCUCUCAGUUCGGAUCGAAGUCUGCAACCCGACUUCGUGAAGCUGGAUUCGCUAGUAAUCGCGCAUCAGCCACGGCGCGGUGAAUACGUUCCCGGGCCUUGUACACACCGCCCGUCAAGCCAUGGGAGCCGGGGGUACCUGAAGUACGUAACCGCAAGGAUCGUCCUAGGGUAAAACUGGUGACUGG